AGAGUUUGAUCCUGGCUCAGGACGAACACUGGCGGCACGCUUAACACAUGCAAGUCGAACGAGAGAAGAGGAGCUUGCUUUUCUGAUCUAGUGGCGGACGGGUGAGUAACACGUGAGCAAUCUGCCUUUCAGAGGGGGAUACCGAUUGGAAACGAUCGUUAAUACCGCAUAACAUAAUUGAACCGCAUGAUUUGAUUAUCAAAGAUUUAUCGCUGAAAGAUGAGCUCGCGUCUGAUUAGCUAGUUGGUAAGGUAACGGCUUACCAAGGCGACGAUCAGUAGCCGGACUGAGAGGUUGAUCGGCCACAUUGGGACUGAGACACGGCCCAGACUCCUACGGGAGGCAGCAGUGGGGAAUAUUGCACAAUGGAGGAAACUCUGAUGCAGCGAUGCCGCGUGAGGGAAGAAGGUUUUAGGAUUGUAAACCUCUGUCUUCAGGGACGAAAAAAGACGGUACCUGAGGAGGAAGCUCCGGCUAACUACGUGCCAGCAGCCGCGGUAAUACGUAGGGAGCGAGCGUUGUCCGGAAUUACUGGGUGUAAAGGGAGCGUAGGCGGGAUCGCAAGUCAGAUGUGAAAACUAUGGGCUUAACCCAUAAACUGCAUUUGAAACUGUGGUUCUUGAGUGAAGUAGAGGUAAGCGGAAUUCCUAGUGUAGCGGUGAAAUGCGUAGAUAUUAGGAGGAACAUCAGUGGCGAAGGCGGCUUACUGGGCUUUAACUGACGCUGAGGCUCGAAAGCGUGGGGAGCAAACAGGAUUAGAUACCCUGGUAGUCCACGCCGUAAACGAUGAUUACUAGGUGUGGGGGGACUGACCCCUUCCGUGCCGCAGCAAACGCAAUAAGUAAUCCACCUGGGGAGUACGACCGCAAGGUUGAAACUCAAAGGAAUUGACGGGGGCCCGCACAAGCAGUGGAGUAUGUGGAUUAAUUCGAAGCAACGCGAAGAACCUUACCAGGUCUUGACAUCGUAUGCAUAGCUCAGAGAUGAGUGAAAUCUCUUCGGAGACAUAUAGACAGGUGGUGCAUGGUUGUCGUCAGCUCGUGUCGUGAGAUGUUGGGUUAAGUCCCGCAACGAGCGCAACCCUUACUGUUAGUUGCUACGCAGGAGCACUCUAGCAGGACUGCCGUUGACAAAACGGAGGAAGGUGGGGAUGACGUCAAAUCAUCAUGCCCCUUAUGACCUGGGCCUCACACGUACUACAAUGGCUGUCAACAGAGGGAAGCAAAGCCGCGAGGUGGAGCGAACCCCUAAAAGCAGUCUUAGUUCGGAUUGUGGCUGCAACCCGCCUACAUGAAGUCGGAAUUGCUAGUAAUCGCAGAUCAGCAUGCUGCGGUGAAUACGUUCCCGGGCCUUGUACACACCGCCCGUCACGCCAUGGGAGUCGGUAACACCCGAAGCCUGUAGUCUAACCGCAAGGAGGACGCAGUCGAAGGUGGGAUUGAUGACUGGGGUGAAGUCGUAACAAGGUA
rnacentral:rRNA from 1 species